GGCUGGGUAGCUCAGUUGGUUAGAGUGUUGUUCUGAUACACCAAGGCUACGGGUUCAAUCCCCGGCCAGGGCA
rfam:Myotis lucifugus cont2.39358, whole genome shotgun sequence.